UGAAGUUUUCGGAUGGAUCUUAGAUUGACUGAGCGGCGGACGGGUGAGUAACGCGUGGGUAACCUGCCUUGUACAGGGGGAUAACAGUUAGAAAUAGCUGCUAAUACCGCAUAAGCGCACGGUUCCGCAUGGAACAGUGUGAAAAACUCCGGUGGUACAAGAUGGACCCGCGUCUGAUUAGCUAGUUGGUGAGAUAACAGCCCACCAAGGCGACGAUCAGUAGCCGGCCUGAGAGGGCGAACGGCCACAUUGGGACUGAGACACGGCCCAAACUCC
rnacentral:rRNA from 1 species